rnacentral:rRNA from 1 species
GACGAGGGGUCCAAGCGUUGUUCGGAAUCAUUGGGCGUAAAGCGGGUGUAGGUGGCUUUGUAAGUCAGUGGUGAAAUGCCGCAGCUCAACUGCGGAACUGCCAUUGAUACUGCUUAGCUUGAAUCACGUCGAGGUGGAUGGAAUAUUACAUGUAGCGGUGAAAUGCUUAGAUAUGUAAUAGAACACCGAUUGCGAAGGCAGUUCACUAGGCGUGUAUUGACACUGAGGCACGAAAGCGUGGGGAUCAAACAGG